UUCACUUUUCAGGAUGGUGCUGAGAUUCACAUGCUCAGCAGUGCCUGCUCCUUACCUAUCUGCCCACAUCCCACAGGAAGAGUUCUGGGAGCUGGACCAGGGUUUUCCCAGGUCACUUUCUCAGGCUUGCUUUGUUGCACUUCACACAGGACUUAAGGAAUUGCAAUGGGGAGUGCUCUUACUUAGGUGAUAUCCAAAAUAUUUAACAUCCCAGAGGCAGAGGAGACAAGCAAACCCAGACCUUAAGCAGCCUGUACAGCCAGAUGGGGUGUGUUUGGGUGAAUGUCACCUGCCUGAAGGAGACCAGCCCAGCUGUGCUGCUGGGAAGAGAGUGAGGGUGGGGUGCAGUGCUUUCUGCCUGCCUGCUUAGAACCAGCAAUCUCUCUGGGUCCCGGAAUGUUUUUUUGUGGUUGAGGAGUGAUAACUCUGUGCAGACAGAUUGAGUGGGGGAGCUGGUGUUUGCGUAGCAGUUCUUAACGUUUAUCAUCAACAAUAAUGAUGAUUAGUCAUCAUAAUAAUUAAUAAUUAUUUACACUUGUAUGGUGCUUAUUUGUGGAGUAUUUACUCCAUGCCAAGUGCUUUAUAACAGCUUAUAAUUGUAGCCAAAGUUGACUGAGCUCUGCUGGGGGCCGGUCACUGCUGUGCUGAGGACUGGCCAGAACGUCACCUUGUUUAGUCCACGCAUCCCUGUACGGGAAGGAUGCAAUCGCCCUUUUGCAGGUCCGAGGAAAGAGGUUAAGGCUCAGAGAGCUCAAGUAACUCAUCCAGAGCCAUGCAGCACAUAGGAGGAAGAGGUGGGUCUCCAAAUUCAGUCUUUCUGACUCCCACCUCAGGUCUCCCUAUGCUCAGCCUGACCCUAAGGCCCGUAUACCCCAGUUUCCAGGAGAUCAGAAAGAAGGGUCAGGGCCUAUGGUGGUAGGCACAGGUGCUCAGGCAGUGAAGCGUUCCCUGACCAACUCCUGGGCACUGGGUGAGGAGAGGAGGCAAGUCUUAAGCCUGGUACUGGCUCUGUCUUUGUCCCAGGCCAGGUGGAAUCAUUGAAAGGACAAGAUUUCUGACUGCAAGCUUGCAGAAAAGUUUGUGUGAAGCCCCAGGGCAUAGCCUGACACCCCUGUACUAGCACCAUGGCCCCUCACAAAGCCACCACGACUGGAAACAAUCUCCCCAAACUCGGCUCUUACAUAUUUGGACUUCCCAGGUGGAUUCACGGCUGCCAUCAAGAGUCCUCAGCAAGCCCCCCUACCCCCCACUCGGUUUACCAUUGGCGCUAUGUUAUCUCACUAGGGGAGAUGCACAGAAACACACACAGGAGCCCCUGGGAUGUGCUGUGCGGAUGCUGGGAAAACCCAUGGGCCUGGUUUUACUGCACAUUUAAAUACUGCUGAGAAAUCAACCUGGAGACUCAGGGGCUUUAGAUGUAGGAGGUGAGGAUGCCAAUGGUUUUCCUGCAGCCACAGUGUUUGAUUCUUAGAGGAAGACUUUCCUAUAGGUUCAGGCUCUCCUGCGAAAUGACUUCCUGACUCAGUUAGACCAGGAAGGAUGGCAAUUGGUGUGAAAUGGUGUCCAAGGGAGCCGAGGCUGGGUCCUCUCUUAUUUAGCAAAUCUCAGGAGGAAGUGAGGAGAGAGAUGCUGGGGGAGUGUGGCAAUGCAGCAGCCCAUUGGUCAAUGGGGGCUGGCCAACCACCUGCCCCUAGGCACACUGCAGAGCUAUGGGCAAGUGUGGGCUCCACUGUCCUGAACACACUCUCUCUGCAUCCACCUUUGGUCUCUAGGAUUGAGCCCAAACUUCAGCCCAGGUGAGGGUGAAACCAGACACUUCAUAAACUGGCCCCGGGCCAUCCCUCUGGCCCUGUCUCUAGGACCCUGAUGUGCACCCUACACCCUAGCCAACCCAGAUCACCCUGCUGCCUGCCCCUUUGUGCUUUGGCACACCCUGGGUCCCUUUGAGAAGGGGAUGGUCUUCCUCUGUCUGUUCCUUGCUGACUCCCCUCCAAACUGCUCAGUGACGAGGAGCCUCUCCUGUCCUCCCUCCCCUAGCAUUGUCUACACACCUGUCUCAGCAUUCACCAUGUGUCAGACGGAGCCUUACAUGUGCUCAUCCCCUGCUGGAUGGUGGGCUCUGGGAGAGCAGGGCCACCACUGAGUCAUUUGACAAUAGGUGAUACAGGGGCCAUGUGGGAGCAGCCUUGUUGCAUGAAGUGCCUGAUCUCCCUCCCACACAGGCCCCCUCCCCCAGCCCUGCUCUGGGAGGGAGGAGGCAGGACCUGCAGUGUAAGAGAGCUUGUGGGAAUGGCAGGGCUGGUGGACAGCAGGCUGGUGAGAGCUGGGGCAAGACCCAAGAGGACCGUGGGGAAUACCAGAGGGUCAUGGGGUGCGAUCGCCAAGCGGGAGUCAAUAGGAACUGGGUCUCCCAGGUCGUAUGGGGUCGGAAUUCUCAGCUGGGCGGGAUGGGCAGGUGGGAAAGGCUUCUGCACCAUUGCCCUCUUGUUGCCUGAGGCCUCUGUCCCUUGAUUCACCUUCAAGAGCCCCCUGGCCUGUGUUAUGGAAACCCCUGGCUGAGGCUCUGGUCUCCAUUCGGUAUCAACUUGCUGGGGGACCCUGAACCAGUGGCUUCAUUCUCUGAGUUAAGUUUCCAGUCUCUGACCCACUUACUUGAGGGUGGUGCGAAGAGAAACUGAGGCGGGACACAUGGAAGUGCCUAGGAGGUCACCUGAGCUGCAGGUGGCACAGUGAGGUUACACUGGCGCCAACACGCACGCACAUGGGAGCACCUCAGGGCUGUCCUGCGUGUCCCUAACUAGAGUGACAUUUCCCGUCUAGAACUCUAGGACCAGCUCACACUUGCCUCACCAAAGCCAGGCCCUGCCUUCCAGUAGCUGUGUCAGUGGGGAGACUACAUCCCUGAUAGUUUCCUCUCCCUCUCAUUGUCUCUCUGCCUCGGUUUUUCUCUCCACCUCUGACUGUUUUUGUCUGUCUGCCUAUCUCUUUCUGUCUGUCUGUCUCUCCCCACCUCUCUUACCCUUCUUAUUCUCAACCGGUCAUCUCCCCUCUGUUCUCCCACUCAUUUAUCCAUUCCCCAUUCACAGCUAAACCAGUUCCCCCCGCCCCCCACUCCCCACCCCAGGAUUCUUCCCAGCUGAGCUCUGCACCUCUGAAACUACCUGCUCCAGCUCUCUGGAGACAGAGAAGAAAAUACCAAUAACCUGCAUGACAGCCUGGGCUCUCGGUUCAUCAACAGAGGAGCCUGGAAACAAGAACCCCAAGAGCAAUGGGACCAUCCAGUGUCCAAAUCUUAAUUUCUAAGACCAGCACCCACCAAAAGUAGCUAGAUCUUUCUGGAGAAAUGGCUGAUUCCAGAUCUGAGGGAAGUACAAGGCAUUUUCCUGCAGCAAACAGGACCUUUCUGUUCCACCCUGCUGCCUUUGAGGCUGCGUCCCAGGCAGUAGCAGGAGAAACAGAUGCUCUGGGAAUGAUGGCAUGGCCCUAACCUUACCUGGUCUGUUGGACUGAUGCGGAAGCUCAAUUUACCCAGGUGAGAGGCAGUGGGGCUGGCAACUAGAUGCGUGGCCCCUGGCCUGCCCUGUCCGAAUCCUGACUUUCUACCCCUAGACCACGGGGUCGGCAAACUGCGGCUCGCGAGCCACAUGUGGCUCUUUCAGGAAAUGCAAGCUCAUUGUUCACACCGAUUAAAACCAAUGAGAGCAAUUUUUUUGUGUGAAU